rnacentral:misc_RNA from 1 species
GAUGAAGAACGUAGCGAAAUGCGAUAAGUAGUGUGAAUUGCAGAAUUCAGUGAAUCAUCGAAUCUUUGAACGCACAUUGCGCCCCUCGGUAUUCCGUGGGGCAUGCCUGUUCGAGCGUCAUUUACCCCCUCAAGCUCAGCUUGGUGUUGGGCGUCUGUCCCGCUUCGUGCGCGGACUCGCCUCAAAUGCAUUGGCAGCGGUCUUGCCAGCUUCUCGCGCAGCACAUUGCGCUUCUAGAGGCUUUGGCGGAUCGGCGUCCAUCAAGUACACCCACAGUUUGACCUCGGAUCAGGUAGGGAUACCCGCUGAACUUAAGCAUAUCAAUAAGCGGAGGA